UACGUAGGUGGCGAGCGUUGUCCGGAUUUACUGGGCGUAAAGAGCGCGCAGGCGGUCGUACAAGUCGCGUGUGAAAGCCCCUGGCUCAACUGGGGAGGGUCACGCGAUACUGUUCGACUCGAAGGCAGGAGAGGGAAGUGGAAUUCCAGGUGUAGCGGUGAAAUGCGUAGAUAUCUGGAGGAACACCGGUGGCGAAGGCGGCAUCCUGGACCGACACUGACACUGAGGAGCGAAAGCCAGGGGAGCAAACGGG
rnacentral:rRNA from 1 species